AAGCGCUUGCAGCCAGACUUGCUUACAGUUGCUCAUCCGGGUUUCUACCCGGUGCACUCUUCUGUAGGCAGGCCAGCAUCAGUUUGGGCGGUAGGAUAAAGGUCUCUGUCACGUACCUCCUUUCGGGGAGGCCUUAUAGGGGAGACGACAUACUACCAGCCUGGACUGAGGUCCGCGCAUCUGCUAGGAUGCUGGCGUAAUGGCUGUAAGCGG
rnacentral:rRNA from 1 species